rnacentral:lncRNA from 1 species
CCUCUCAAGAAUUACCAAAGAAAAACAUUUUCACCCAUGAAUGCCGUCAGUAGUAGUUCAGAGGACAUUAAACCCCCUCUGGGUCUGAACGGGGUGAUGAAGGUCCCAGCGCAGCCCACAGGCACAUCCCUCUCCCUCACUAAACACAUCUGUGCCAUUUGUGGAGACCGUUCAUCAGGUAAACACUACGGGGUGUACAGCUGUGAGGGCUGUAAGGGCUUCUUCAAGAGAACGGUGAGAAAGGAUUUGACGUACACUUGCAGAGACAACAAGGACUGUAUAAUUGACAAACGCCAACGCAACCGCUGCCAGUACUGCCGCUAUCAGAAGUGCUUAGCCAUGGGAAUGAAGAGAGAAGCCGUUCAGGACGAGCGACAGCGGGCGAAGGAGCGGAGUGAGGCUGAGUUCGGCAGCUGUGCCAAUGAGGACAUGCCCGUGGAGAAGAUUCUGGAAGCCGAACUGGCAGUGGAACCAAAGACGGAGACCUACGUGGAGGCCAACCUGAGUGCGCCUGCCAAUUCUCCUAACGACCCUGUAACAAACAUCUGCCAAGCAGCUGACAAGCAACUCUUUACCUUAGUGGAGUGGGCCAAGCGGAUACCUCACUUUUCUGAUCUCCCGCUGGACGAUCAAGUCAUCCUCCUGAGAGCAGGGUGGAAUGAACUCCUGAUCGCCUCUUUUUCACAUCGUUCUAUAGCUGUGAAAGAUGGGAUAUUAUUAGCCACAGGCCUUCACGUCCAUAGGAACAGUGCACACACUGCCGGUGUGGGAGCCAUCUUUGACAGAGUGCUGACGGAGCUUGUGUCAAAGAUGAGAGACAUGCAAAUGGACAAGACUGAACUUGGAUGCCUGCGGGCCAUUGUUCUGUUCAAUCCAGAUUCAAAAGGACUGUCUAAUCCAUCAGAGGUGGAGGCAUUAAGGGAAAGAGUGUAUGCAUCUCUAGAGGCCUACUGUAAACACAAAUAUCCCGAUCAGCCUGGAUCCUUCAUUAUUUCACUUGCUCAUCUCUCUGAAAAAGCGAGCUAUCCAGUGCGUUGUUAUUGGCCGAAUGCCUCAAGCGUGUGA